CCGCGGUAAGACGAAGGGGGCUAGCGUUGUUCGGAAUUACUGGGCGUAAAGCGCACGUAGGCGGAUCGAUCAGUUAGGGGUGAAAUCCCGGGGCUCAACCUCGGAACUGCCUCUAAUACUGUCGAUCUCGAGUUCGAGAGAGGUGAGUGGAAUUCCGAGUGUAGAGGUGAAAUUCGUAGAUAUUCGGAGGAACACCAGUGGCGAAGGCGGCUCACUGGCUCGAUACUGACGCUGAGGUGCGAAAGCGUGGGGAGCAAACAGG
rnacentral:rRNA from 1 species